rnacentral:rRNA from 1 species
UACAGAGGUCUCAACCGUUGUUCGGAUUCAUUGGGCGUAAAGGGUGCGUAGGCGGUCGCGUAAGUCAGGUGUGAAAUCUCAGGGCUCAACCCUGAAACUGCACUUGAUACUGCGUGGCUCGGGUACUGGAGAGGAGACUGGAAUUUACGGUGUAGCGGUGAAAUGCGUAGAUAUCGUAAGGAAGACCAGUGGCGAAGGCGGGUCUCUGGACAGUUCCUGACGCUGAGGCACGAAGGUCAGGGGAGCAAACGGG